GACGAACGCUGGCGGCGUGCCUAAUACAUGCAAGUUGAGCGCUGAAGGUUGGUACUUGUACCAACUGGAUGAGCAGCGAACGGGUGAGUAACGCGUGGGGAAUCUGCCUUUGAGCGGGGGACAACAUUUGGAAACGAAUGCUAAUACCGCAUAAAAACUUUAAACACAAGUUUUAAGUUUGAAAGAUGCAAUUGCAUCACUCAAAGAUGAUCCCGCGUUGUAUUAGCUAGUUGGUGAGGUAAAGGCUCACCAAGGCGAUGAUACAUAGCCGACCUGAGAGGGUGAUCGGCCACAUUGGGACUGAGACACGGCCCAAACUCCUACGGGGGGCAGCAGUAGGGAAUCUUCGGCAAUGGACGAAAGUCUGACCGAGCAACGCCGCGUGAGUGAAGAAGGUUUUCGGAUCGUAAAACUCUGUUGGUAGAGAAGAACGUUGGUGAGAGUGGAAAGCUCACCAAGUGACGGUAACUACCCAGAAAGGGACGGCUAACUACGUG
rnacentral:rRNA from 1 species